CUACACGACCGUACCGCAAACCGACACUGGUGCGCGAGAUGAGUAUUCUAAGGCGCUUGAGAGAACUCAGGAGAAGGAACUCGGCAAAUUGACACCGUAACUUCGGAAGAAGGUGUGCCUUUAGUAGGUGAAGUCCCUGCGGAUGGAGCCCAAUGAGGUUGCAAAAAAUCGGUGGCUGCGACUGUUUAUUAAAAACACAGCACUCUGCAAACACGAAAGUGGACGUAUAGGGUGUGACGCCUGCCCGGUGCUGGAAGAUUAAAUGAUGGGGUGCAAGCUCUUGAUUGAAGUCCCAGUAAACGGCGGCCGUAACUAUAACGGUCCUAAGGUAGCGAAAUUCCUUGUCGGGUAAGUUCCGACCUGCACGAAUGGCGUAACGAUGGCCACACUGUCUCCUCCUGAGACUCAGCGAUGUUGAAAUGUUUGUGAUGAUGCAAUCUCCCCGCGGAAAGACGGAAAGACCCCAUGAACCUUUACUGUAGCUUUGUAUUGGACUUUGAACAGAUCUGUGUAGGAUAGGUGGGAGGCUUUGAAGUAGGGUCGCUAGAUCUUAUGGAGCCAACGUUGAAAUACCACCCUGGUGUGUUUGAGGUUCUAACCUAGGUCCAUUAUCUGGAUCGGGGACAGUGCAUGGUAGGCAGUUUGACUGGGGCGGUUCCUCCCAAAGCGUAACGGAGGAGUUCGAAGGUACGCUAGUUACGGUCGGACAUCGUGACGAUAGUGCAAUGGCAUAAGCGUGCUUAACUGCGAGACUGACAAGUCGAGCAGAUGCGAAAGCAGGACAUAGUGAUCCGGUGGUUCUGUAUGGAAGGGCCAUCGCUCAACGGAUAAAAGGUACUCUGGGGAUAACAGGCUGAUACCGCCCAAGAGUUCAUAUCGACGGCGGUGUUUGGCACCUCGAUGUCGGCUCAUCUCAUCCUGGGGCUGUAGCCGGUCCCAAGGGUAUGGCUGUUCGCCACUUAAAGAGGUACGUGAGCUGGGUUUAAAACGUCGUGAGACAGUUUGGUCCCUAUCUUCCGUGGGCGCUGCAGAUUUGAGGAAGCCUGCUCCUAGUACGAGAGGACCGGAGUGGACACACCUCUGGUGUAUCGGUUGUCACGCCAGUGGCAUUGCCGAGUAGCUAAGUGUGGAAGAGAUAACCGCUGAAAGCAUCUAAGCGGGAAACUCGUUUCAAGAUGAGAUCUGCCGGGGCCUUGAGCCCCCUAAAGAGUCGUUCAAGACCAGGACGUUGAUAGGUCAGGUGUGGAAGCGCAGUAAUGCGUUAAGCUAACUGAUACUAAUUGCUCGUGCGGCUUGACC
rnacentral:rRNA from 1 species